GCUCGUGCUGAAGGCCUGUUUCCUAGGCAACACACGAGGGACUAGUUCCUUACUUUCGCCUAGGGGAAAGUCCCCGGACCUCUGGCAGAGAGUGCCGCGUGCGCGUGCACGUAGACCUCCCCCUACUUCCACGGUUAAAACCGCCAAGAAGCGAACCCGCCCUUGCGGGGAGCCGAGCGGCGUGCUGUAGGUGGUUGUCAUCCGUCAGAUCUUAAAGUUACGCAGGCAGUGCGCCUUACGCGCGUACCAACCACACGGGGCUCAUUCUCAGCGCGGC
ensembl:ribozyme RNase_MRP RNase MRP